rnacentral:rRNA from 1 species
UACAGAGGGGGCAAGCGUUGUUCGGAAUUACUGGGCGUAAAGGGCGCGUAGGCGGCCUGCUAAGUCGAACGUGAAAUCCCCGAGCUCAACUCGGGAACUGCGUCCGAUACUGGCAGGCUUGAAUCCGGGAGAGGGAUGCGGAAUUCCAGGUGUAGCGGUGAAAUGCGCAGAUAUCAGGAGGAACACCGAUUGCGAAGGCAGCUCGCUGGGACGUUACUGACGCUGAGACGCGAAAGCGUGGGGAGCAAACAGG